AGAGUUUGAUCAUGGCUCAGGAUGAACGCUAGCGGCAGGCUUAAUACAUGCAAGUCGAGGGGCAGCAUGUCCCGUAGCAAUACGGGAUGAUGGCGACCGGCAAACGGGUGCGGAACACGUACAGAACCUUCCUUCGAGCGGGGAAUAGCCCAGAGAAAUUUGGAUUAAUACCCCAUAGCAUAUUGGAGAGGCAUCUCUUUAAUAUUAAAGAUUUAUCACUUGAAGAUGGCUGUGCGGCUGAUUAGGUAGUUGGCGGGGUAACGGCCCACCAAGCCUGCGAUCAGUAACUGGUGUGAGAGCACGACCAGUCACACGGGCACUGAGACACGGGCCCGACUCCUACGGGAGGCAGCAGUAAGGAAUAUUGGUCAAUGGACGAAAGUCUGAACCAGCCAUGCCGCGUGGAGGAUGAAGGUCCUCUGGAUUGUAAACUUCUUUUAUAUGGGACGAAAAAAGGGUUUUCUAACUCGUCUGACGGUACCAUAUGAAUAAGCACCGGCUAACUCCGUGCCAGCAGCCGCGGUAAUACGGAGGGUGCAAGCGUUAUCCGGAUUCACUGGGUUUAAAGGGUGCGUAGGUGGGUUGGUAAGUCAGUGGUGAAAUCCCCGAGCUUAACUUGGGAACUGCCAUUGAUACUAUCAGUCUUGAAUACCGUGGAGGUCAGCGGAAUAUGUCAUGUAGCGGUGAAAUGCUUAGAUAUGACAUAGAACACCAAUUGCGAAGGCAGCUAUCUAAGCCAUUAUUGACGCUGAUGCACGAAAGCGUGGGGAUCAAACAGGAUUAGAUACCCUGGUAGUCCACGCCCUAAACGAUGAUAACUCGAUGUUAGCGAUACACCGUUAGCGUCUUAGCGAAAGCGUUAAGUUAUCCACCUGGGGAGUACGCCCGCAAGGGUGAAACUCAAAGGAAUUGACGGGGGCCCGCACAAGCGGAGGAGCAUGUGGUUUAAUUCGAUGAUACGCGAGGAACCUUACCCGGGCUUGAAAGUUAGUGAAUGGGACAGAGACGUCCCAGUCCUUCGGGACACGAAACUAGGUGCUGCAUGGCUGUCGUCAGCUCGUGCCGUGAGGUGUUGGGUUAAGUCCCGCAACGAGCGCAACCCCUAUGUUUAGUUGCCAGCAUGUAAUGAUGGGGACUCUAAACAGACUGCCUGCGUAAGCAGUGAGGAAGGUGGGGACGACGUCAAGUCAUCAUGGCCCUUACGUCCGGGGCUACACACGUGCUACAAUGGAUGGUACAGCGGGCAGCUACACAGCAAUGUGAUGCCAAUCUCGAAAAGCCAUUCACAGUUCGGAUCGGGGUCUGCAACUCGACCCCGUGAAGUUGGAUUCGCUAGUAAUCGCGUAUCAGCAAUGACGCGGUGAAUACGUUCCCGGGCCUUGUACACACCGCCCGUCAAGCCAUGAAAGUUGGGAGUGCCUAAAGCAUGUAACCGCAAGGAGCGUGUCAGGGCAAAACCGAUAAUUGGGGCUAAGUCGUAACAAGGUAACCGUAG
rnacentral:rRNA from 1 species